rnacentral:rRNA from 1 species
AGUCUAGGCCAUACCACCCUGAACGCGCCUGAUCUUGUCUGAUCUUGGAAGUUAGGCAGGGUUGGACCUGGUUAGUACUUGGAUGGGAGAUAAACAAAGGCAUACAACUU